AUUGAACGCUGGCGGAAUGCUUUACACAUGCAAGUCGAACGGCAGCACGGGGCAACCUGGUGGCGAGUGGCGAACGGUGAGUAAUAUAUCGGAACGUGCCCAAUCGUGGGGGAUAACGUAGCGAAAGUUACGCUAAUACCGCAUACGAUCUACGGAUGAAAGCGGGGGAUCGCAAGACCUCGCGCGAAUGGAGCGGCCGAUAUCAGAUUAGGUAGUUGGUGGGGUAAAGGCUCACCAAGCCAACGAUCUGUAGCUGGUCUGAGAGGACGACCAGCCACACUGGAACUGAGACACGGUCCAGACUCCUACGGAGGCAGCAGUGGGGAAUUUUGGACAAUGGGCGCAAGCCUGAUCCAGCCAUUCCGCGUGCAGGAUGAAGGCC
rnacentral:rRNA from 1 species